CGACCGGGUAGCCCGGCUGAGGAGGGGUGACGCCACACCUGACUGAGAUACGUUCAGACUUCUACGGAGGCAGCAGUGGGGAUAUGCACAAUGGGCGAAAGCCUGAUGCAGCACGCGCGUGAGGGAUGAAGGCCUUCGGGUGUAACCUCUUUUAGCAGGGAAGAAGCGAAAGUGACGGUACCUGCAGAAAAAGCACCGGGCUAACUACGUGCCAGCAGCCGCGGUAAUACGUAGGGUGCAAGCGUUGUCCGGAAUUAUUGGGCGUAAAGAGCUCGUAGGCGGUUUGUCGCGUCUGCUGUGAAAAUCCAAGGCUCAACCUUGGACCUGCAGUGGGUACGGGCAGACUAGAGUGCGGUAGGGGAGAUGGGAAUUCCUGGUGUAGCGGUGGAAUGCGCAGAUAUCAGGAGGAACACCAAUGGCGAAGGCACAUCUCUGGGCCGUAACUGACGCUGAGGAGCGAAAGCGUGGGGAGCGAACAGGAUUAGAUACCCUGGUAGUCCACGCCGUAAACGGUGGGUGCUAGUUGUGGGCCACAUUCCACGUGGUCCGUGACGAAGUUAACACAUUAAGCACCCCGCCUGGGGAGUACGGUCGCAAGACUAAAACUCAAAGGAAUUGACGGGGGCCCGCACAAGCGGCGGAGCAUGCGG
rnacentral:rRNA from 1 species